rnacentral:rRNA from 1 species
GAUUAAGUUAUUAAGGGCGCACGGUGGAUGCCUUGGCACUAGAAGCCGAUGAAGGACGUUACUAACGACGAUAUGCUUUGGGGAGCUGUAAGUAAGCUUUGAUCCAGAGAUUUCCGAAUGGGGAAACCCAGCAUGAGUUAUGUCAUGUUAUCGAUAUGUGAAUACAUAGCAUAUCAGAAGGCACACCCGGAGAACUGAAACAUCUUAGUACCCGGAGGAAGAGAAAGAAAAUUCGAUUCCCUUAGUAGCGGCGAGCGAAACGGGAAGAGCCCAAACCAACAAGCUUGCUUGUUGGGGUUGUAGGACACUCUAUACGGAGUUACAAAGGACGACAUUAGACGAAUCAUCUGGAAAGAUGAAUCAAAGAAGGUAAUAAUCCUGUAGUCGAAAAUGUUGUCUCUCUUGAGUGGAUCCUGAGUACGACGGAGCACGUGAAAUUCCGUCGGAAUCUGGGAGGACCAUCUCCUAAGGCUAAAUACUCUCUAGUGACCGAUAGUGAACCAGUACCGUGAGGGAAAGGUGAAAAGCACCCCGGAAGGGGAGUGAAAUAGAACCUGAAACCGUGUGCUUACAAGUAGUCAGAGCCCGUUAAUGGGUGAUGGCGUGCCUUUUGUAGAAUGAACCGGCGAGUUACGAUUUGAUGCAAGGUUAAGCAGUAAAUGUGGAGCCGUAGCGAAAGCGAGUCUGAAUAGGGCGUUUAGUAUUUGGUCGUAGACCCGAAACCAGGUGAUCUACCCUUGGUCAGGUUGAAGUUCAGGUAACACUGAAUGGAGGACCGAACCGACUUACGUUGAAAAGUGAGCGGAUGAACUGAGGGUAGCGGAGAAAUUCCAAUCGAACCUGGAGAUAGCUGGUUCUCUCCGAAAUAGCUUUAGGGCUAGCCUCAAGUGAUGAUUAUUGGAGGUAGAGCACUGUUUGGACGAGGGGCCCCUCUCGGGUUACCGAAUUCAGACAAACUCCGAAUGCCAAUUAAUUUAACUUGGGAGUCAGAACAUGGGUGAUAAGGUCCGUGUUCGAAAGGGAAACAGCCCAGACCACCAGCUAAGGUCCCAAAAUAUAUGUUAAGUGGAAAAGGAUGUGGCGUUGCCCAGACAACUAGGAUGUUGGCUUAGAAGCAGCCAUCAUUUAAAGAGUGCGUAAUAGCUCACUAGUCGAGUGACACUGCGCCGAAAAUGUACCGGGGCUAAACAUAUUACCGAAGCUGUGGAUUGUCCUUUGGACAAUGGUAGGAGAGCGUUCUAAGGGCGUUGAAGCAUGAUCGUAAGGACAUGUGGAGCGCUUAGAAGUGAGAAUGCCGGUGUGAGUAGCGAAAGACGGGUGAGAAUCCCGUCCACCGAUUGACUAAGGUUUCCAGAGGAAGGCUCGUCCGCUCUGGGUUAGUCGGGUCCUAAGCUGAGGCCGACAGGCGUAGGCGAUGGAUAACAGGUUGAUAUUCCUGUACCACCUAUAAUCGUUUUAAUCGAUGGGGGGACGCAGUAGGAUAGGCGAAGCGUGCGAUUGGAUUGCACGUCUAAGCAGUAAGGCUGAGUAUUAGGCAAAUCCGGUACUCANNNNNNNNNNNNNNNNNNNNNNNNNNNNNNNNNNNNNNNNNNNNNNNNNNNNNNNNNNNNNNNNNNNNNNNNNNNNNNNNNNNNNNNNNNNNNNNNUCGUUAAGGCUGAGCUGUGAUGGGGAGAAGACAUUGUGUCUUCGAGUCGUUGAUUUCACACUGCCGAGAAAAGCCUCUAGAUAGAAAAUAGGUGCCCGUACCGCAAACCGACACAGGUAGUCAAGAUGAGAAUUCUAAGGUGAGCGAGCGAACUCUCGUUAAGGAACUCGGCAAAAUGACCCCGUAACUUCGGGAGAAGGGGUGCUCUUUAGGGUUAACGCCCAGAAGAGCCGCAGUGAAUAGGCCCAAGCGACUGUUUAUCAAAAACACAGGUCUCUGCUAAACCGUAAGGUGAUGUAUAGGGGCUGACGCCUGCCCGGUGCUGGAAGGUUAAGAGGAGUGGUUAGCUUCUGCGAAGCUACGAAUCGAAGCCCCAGUAAACGGCGGCCGUAACUAUAACGGUCCUAAGGUAGCGAAAUUCCUUGUCGGGUAAGUUCCGACCCGCACGAAAGGCGUAACGAUUUGGGCACUGUCUCAACGAGAGACUCGGUGAAAUCAUAGUACCUGUGAAGAUGCAGGUUACCCGCGACAGGACGGAAAGACCCCGUGGAGCUUUACUGUAGCCUGAUAUUGAAAUUCGGCACAGCUUGUACAGGAUAGGUAGGAGCCUUUGAAACGUGAGCGCUAGCUUACGUGGAGGCGCUGGUGGGAUACUACCCUAGCUGUGUUGGCUUUCUAACCCGCACCACUUAUCGUGGUGGGAGACAGUGUCAGGCGGGCAGUUUGACUGGGGCGGUCGCCUCCUAAAAGGUAACGGAGGCGCUCAAAGGUUCCCUCAGAAUGGUUGGAAAUCAUUCAUAGAGUGUAAAGGCAUAAGGGAGCUUGACUGCGAGACCUACAAGUCGAGCAGGGUCGAAAGACGGACUUAGUGAUCCGGUGGUUCCGCAUGGAAGGGCCAUCGCUCAACGGAUAAAAGCUACCCCGGGGAUAACAGGCUUAUCUCCCCCAAGAGUUCACAUCGACGGGGAGGUUUGGCACCUCGAUGUCGGCUCAUCGCAUCCUGGGGCUGUAGUCGGUCCCAAGGGUUGGGCUGUUCGCCCAUUAAAGCGGUACGCGAGCUGGGUUCAGAACGUCGUGAGACAGUUCGGUCCCUAUCCGUCGUGGGCGUAGGAAAUUUGAGAGGAGCUGUCCUUAGUACGAGAGGACCGGGAUGGACAUACCUCUGGUGUACCAGUUGUCGUGCCAACGGCAUAGCUGGGUAGCUAUGUGUGGACGGGAUAAGUGCUGAAAGCAUCUAAGCAUGAAGCCCCCCUCAAGAUGAGAUUUCCCAACUUCGGUUAUAAGAUCCCUCAAAGAUGAUGAGGUUAAUAGGUUCGAGGUGGAAGCAUGGUGACAUGUGGAGCUGACGAAUACUAAUCGAUCGAAGACUUAAUCAA